CCUACGGGGGGCAGCAGUGAGGAAUAUUGGUCAAUGGGCGCUAGCCUGAACCAGCCAAGUAGCGUGAAGGAUGACUGCCCUAUUGGUUGUAAACUUCUUUUAUAUGGGAAUAAAACAGGGUAUGCAUACCCUCUUGUAUGUACCAUAUGAAUAAGGAUCGGCUAACUCCGUGCCAGCAGCCGCGGUAAUACGGAGGAUCCGAGCGUUAUCCGGAUUUAGUGGGUUUAAAGGGAGCGUAGGUGGAUUGUUAAGUCAGUUGUGAAAGUUUGCGGCUCAACCGUAAAAUUGCAGUUGAAACUGGCAGUCUUGAGUACAGUAGAGGUGGGCGGAAUUCGUGGUGUAGCGGUGAAAUGCUUAGAUAUCACGAAGAACUCCGAUUGCGAAGGCAGCUCACUGGACUGCAACUGACACUGAUGCUCGAAAGUGUGGGUAUCAAACAGGAUUAGAUACCCCAGUAGUC
rnacentral:rRNA from 1 species